CAUAUAUAGGUUAAACAAUCAGAGCUUCAUGACAAGAAAAACGGGUGGCUGCAUCUCUUAACUGAGUUUGCCUUCUUCACGAAAUGGAAUGGACCUCUCAGUCCGGGAGAGAUUGAGGAUUGCCGACCUUUGAUUACUCAACAUGUGGUUGUGGAAACCCUUGAUGAAGAUGCUGAGAAAGAGUCGAGUGAUAAGCUCAAUGCGGCCAAUGCAGUCUUCUAUAUAUCUUUUUUGGGUUGCAAAAAAAAAAAUAUGUAUCUUAUAUAAAUGAUAAUAUAUGUUUUUACAAUUUAUAUAUAUAUUAAAUAAUUAUUUAAUAUAUUUCUAAACACAAUCAUUUUAGAAUUUAUAAUGAAUAAUUUUAUUUUAUUUUUUGAUCCGUCAACUGUUACAACCCUAUUUUUAAAAUAUAACUCGUGUGUUCGUGCAAAUAUAUUUUUUAUGUAUCAUAAUUUUAAUGUAAAAUAAAAUGGUUAUCUAUUUUUAUAUUUGAUUUAUACGAUUAAAUAAUUCAAUAUAUUAUUUAAAAUUUUGUGGUUUAUAUUAUAUAAUUUUAUAACACUUUUAUGUUUUUUAGACGUAGUUAAUAUACCAAAAUAAAAAAAAUAACCAUCCCGUAAUAAUAAAAUUUUGUUACAUUUUUGACAUUAAUUAAGUAUAAUUUAUUGUUUACCAAGAUUAUAUGAAACAUUUUUUAAAUAAAUAAACAUAAUUUGUUAUACUUUAUUUUAGGAAAAUGUAUUAAUUAAACUAUAAAAGACAAGAAUACUAAAAGGUAGGUAAAUUUAUUUCUUCAGUGGCAUUCAAAUGUAAAUAACUUUAAAAACUAAUGGUCAAUUUAUAUUGGUACUUUUCUUUUAAUAAUAGAGAUUUUUCAAAAAAAAAGCUUUACGAUUAAGACAUGGAAUCCUAAUUGAGAUAUGAAAAUAAUUCCUUUACGUAUGUUAAAUUAAAGUCUAUAUCUGUAAAUGGAAAAUCCUCGAUUUAUAUUGGUUUACAGUUUAUUUAACGUAUUUAUGGUUGGGCCUUUGUAUAGGCUUUUGAAGGAAAACAAGAGACCAAUCAGACUUUCCCUUGAUAGAACUUGUGCUGCACAACGAACCAUAGGGUCGGUCAAACACCACUAGUGCAUAUAAAAUGAAAGGUAUUGAAAUGGCAAUCAUUUAAUACCCUAAGACACUGCAAGAGAACAUAUUACGUAAUGUUCAAACAAAAACAAAAAGAGAACAUAGUACAUUAUUGAGUAUUCACAUAAUGGGUAACAAAUAAGGAAAUGAAUACGAAACUGAAAGAAGUUACCAUUCACUCUGCUUGCAGAUGCUUUAAAAAAAGUGUGCAGCCUUAGGGAGCAAACAUCAAUGAUUAGACAUAAGUCAUAACAGAUCAAUGAACCAUUCGUUCUCAUACUAAUUAUUGCAUUACAAACAGAAAUCUCUCCUUAACGAUGAUAAUAGAUCCAACUCGUUCUACUCCAAAUAGUUUAGACAAACACAACAUAAAACAUUUAACAUAUCAUGACAGAAUUAGUAAAUAGCCUUAGAAAUUAUAAAGGAGCAGAUCCGCAGUUCUGUCUAUUGUUCUUAUUCUUCAGCUAAAUAGCGUUAAUGAUAGGUAUUGUAAAAGAGCAGAUCCCUAUCAAUCUUUUCUUCUUCUUCAGUUCAAUCUGCUGAUACAACUUCAAGAUACAAGUGUCCUGGCUUCCCAUCCAUGGUUUUCCUUAUUACCGCUUUGUGAUCACGUGCCCACUCUGAAGAUUCACCAUUAUACUUGUAACUUACGUAGUAGAUUGCAUUUUGGGCUUUCAGCUUCUCAUGUCCUUCUUCUGUGUCUUCUUUAGUUACUACAACCACCCUCUUAAUCUCCAAGGGUGGGGGAGCAGUCAACACCUACAAAAGAAAAAGGUUCAAUUUCUUUUCUGUUUCUUUCUUCAUUUUUAGGCAGAGAGAAUCUCAAGGACUUACGUUAUUUGUUUUGGAGUAGAACGCAAUUUCGGUGAAUAGAUACAGCCAGUCAUUCUCCUGCAACUCUGAUUCUUGCACCUGUGAUGAGAUCCACAGAACAAAAUGUAUGUUACCUGCCUAGUUAACAUGUCAGACAAGUUGCCUUCUCAAACAAACAAAAAAAGAAGAAGCUGCAGAUUCAAACAGUGGACAUGAUCUUACCACAUAAUAGUUUUUAUUGCCACGAGCCAAUUCUUCAUGAGACGACCAUUUGGGUAUUGCAUCUUUGUAGAAAUCGUCUACUGCCUUAUCGUCCCAAUGAUCAUCCACAGCAUCGUCACCUUUAAAAGAGUUCUCUAUAAACAGUUAGUUCUCUUAAACUAAACCAGAACUCCCAGUGAUAUAUAUGAACACUUAGACAAUAUCCAUUACAGACCACGAAUGUUGGUGAUAUAAUCUUACAUUUGAUUCUGCAGGCUAAGGUAGUCCACAUAACGGGACAGUCUGGGGAAGAAUCUUCGUUUAACAAGGUCUGAAAAGAGAAGACCGAGCCGGAGACAGGAUCCUUGGCGUUGAAAGUUACAUAGACGUAGUCGUAUGCAGUAGAGAUAACAUUAUACUUUUCCAAGCGGACAAACUUGAAGUUUGUUCCCUGUCUCAAAGCAAAAAAACAAUAGCUCAUAAAAUCAUGCAAUCCACCAUUUCAAAAUAACCAAAAGAACACACACGGUUUAUAGUUUAUUUCACCUCAACAUGUUCAAUAGAUCAGUUGACAAAGAAGAUAAAACUCAUAUAGGUAUAACAACUGUCUUAAGAAAAACCAUUGCUAAUAUCUUCAAUUUCUUAUGAUUUUUAAACUAAAAUCUUUAUUCCAAUGUUUUACACAGCAUAAUAAUGUAUAUUAAAAUCCUAAAUCCAAGUUCUCCACAUCAAUAGCAAUGGGAAGAAAAAAAACAUAAAGAAGAUGCAAUGAUCACAGUUUAAUUAGUCUAGACGGAUAGCUACAGUUAUCCACAUCAAAACCCUACAAAAUUAACACGAAGAAAAAAAGUAUCUGACAAGGAGCAUCAAAUAAUCCACUGGAAAAUCCAAAAAAAACGACGUGGUAAUCAAAAUCUGAUAUACAUAUACAAUCAGCAACAUGAUGAUUAAGAAUUAGAAGAGAGAUUACAUCGGCCAACCCUUCUUUGUUGAAAUCGGGAUCGUUUGGAACAACAUCCAAACCAAAGAACUUUAGCUUAGCCUUCUGCCUUCUCUUUUCUCUUCCCCAGAUCUCACAAAAAUUUCAGGAUAUAUCCACAACCAUAAGAGAGAGAACUAACUUUAUUCGACGUCGUUUUGUAGGUCGACAGAAAACAGAAUACCGAAACAAAACUCUGUCGAUUGUAAAAGCCCAUUUAGGGGUCUAAGUCCCACAGAGUGGUGGCCCAUUUGUUGUUCUUUAUCAUAUUGCCGUAGUUGUCUCGUUCGAUCUGAAAAAUUAGGGUUCCGUUUGGGUGAAAAUGAGGGACGCGUCGCCAGAAUAUGAUCCUGAGUAUGCCCGAAUCGCAGCGGAGGUUCUCCGAAUUAUCUUCUUUAUAGGCCGUAGCUUCCUUUCAUCGCAAGUGCUUGGUUCUAUAAUACAUUCCUUGGUUUUUGUAGGUGCGGGCGGAAUUGAAGGAGCUCGGAGAAGAUGAACAAAAUUCAUUCUCCGAUGAUGAUGAUCCCGCUGAUCGUGGGUGGUCCACAUACGUUACAGAUGCCAAAGUACGUACCAUCUUGACUUCUCUUCCUUUCUUCAUCUCUUCUCACAACACUUAACUUGUAUAAUCCGUUAGUAGCAAUCUCUAUCUAUUUUCUUUCGCUGAUAUACUUUGUGUUUGUGCGUAUAGGCUUUUUUUGCUGGUAGGAGGAUAAAACCUAAAGCAUGGCGCUUUUAUUAUGACAGGGGCCUCUGCGCUAGACUUGCACUCUACUGUUACAAUCUUCAGAAGGUUUUUUUGUUUCCCUAUUUUAAAUAUGCAUGCCUUCUCACCUAAGUUAAGCUUUCCCGUUUCUUUCUCAGGGCACAGUUUACGAUUUUUGGUUUAUCAGUCAGCUACAUGAGCAGACUCACCGUUCCUUCACCAAGUCUUUCAUAACAUUUGAGGCGGUGAAUCCAGCCGACCGUACUUCUCCAGUCACUUUUGAGACUUGCGUUAAGCAUAACGAUGAUCAAGUUACACACGUCCCCAAUUUGUGGUGGGAGACUCACAUUUGCAGGGUGGAAGGUAUACAAUCUUUCUAAUUAAUAGCUAUCCAUAUAGGUUAUUGAAUGGGGUUCCUCUGCCAUUUAUCAUAAAGUUUUUCUGUGUGUGUGGUUAAAAGGUAGCGAAGAGGCUGAUUAUGAGUGGGACGAUGGAGCCGUAAAUGAUUGUUACAAAGGUGAAAUGCCCAAAUGGCUGUCUGAUGAAGAUCAGCAACGAUGCUAUGUGGUAACACUCUUCUGUCUAGUAAUGCACAAAAUCAUUCAUGUUUCCAUUGUUUCUUUUUCAUUGGGUGUGUGGAUCCAUAUAUAUAGGUUAAACAAUCAGAGCUUCAUGACGAGAAAAACGGGUGGCUGCUUAUCUUAACUGAGUUUGCCUUCUUCACGAAAUGGAAUGGACCUCUCAGUCCGGGAGAGAUUGAGGAUUGCCGACCUUUGAUUACUCAACAUGUGGUUGUGGAAACUCUUGAUGAAGAAGCUGAGAAAGAGCAGUCGAGUGAUAAAGUGAUCAAUGCGGCCAAUGCAAUCUUCUACAUAUCUUUUGAGUGCGUGGAGGAU
rnacentral:lncRNA from 1 species